rnacentral:rRNA from 1 species
AGUGAACGCUGGCGGUAGGCCUAACACAUGCAAGUCGAACGGCAGCACAGUAAGAGCUUGCUCUUACGGGUGGCGAGUGGCGGACGGGUGAGGAAUACAUCGGAAUCUACUUUUUCGUGGGGGAUAACGUAGGGAAACUUACGCUAAUACCGCAUACGACCUACGGGUGAAAGCAGGGGAUCUUCGGACCUUGCGCGAUUGAAUGAGCCGAUGUCGGAUUAGCUAGUUGGCGGGGUAAAGGCCCACCAAGGCGACGAUCCGUAGCUGGUCUGAGAGGAUGGUCAGCCACACUGGAACUGAGACACGGACCAGACUCCUACGGGAGGCCGCAGUGGGGAAUAUUGGACAAUGGGCGCAAGCCUGACCCAGCCAUACCGCGUGGGUGACGAAGGCCUUCGGGUUGUAAAGCCCUUUUGUUGGGAAAGAAAAGCAGCAGGUUAAGACCCAGCUGUUCUGACGGUACCCAAAGAAUAAGCACCGGCUAACUUCGUG